AAAUUUUAAUUAUUUAAAUGUCUCAAAAGAUCACUUUAUCUUUUCCUUCUAAACCUAAAUUAAAGAAGGAUUUGGCUAUCAUUCACUACGUAAACCCUUCUUUCCCAAAUUUACAAUUGCAAAAUCAAAUCUUCUUCUCCUUCAAAUUUCCAAACACUUUUCCUUAAAGUCAAAAACUAUCGAUUUUCCUUCUUCUUCUGAGGCCGACGAUAGUACAGAGUUUUAAAGUGAACGAUUUUGUCAAUAAAGGUUGAGGUAAGAAAUCUAGUUUUCCAUUUCCCAAAAAAACGUCGAACUCAGAUUUAGUAAAAUCAAUGGAAGUUUUCAAACUUGUAAGGAGUUCUCUCUAUAGUGUUCAGGUUGUGUUUUAAUUUCAUUUGUGCAAAUUCUUCUUCUUGUUGUCAAAUCCCUAUUUUGAUUUUUUAAGUUUCUUGAUCUGGGCUUUAUGAAAUUCAAUUCAAGAUUACAUUUUUUGAUAUAAAGAUCAUUUCCAUAGCUUUUAUUUAUUCAAGCAUUGGAAAUUCAUAUUGAGGUUUGGUGGUUUUGGAGAUUUGUUUCAUCAAUUGGUGUUUAGCAGAUUCGUUUUAGUGAGAUUUGUAAUGAUUUUUUGAUGAGUGUCAUUUCAUUUUUAUUUUCUUAAUUAUGUGGACUUCUAUGUUUUAUGUAUAUACUGUUAUUUAUUUCUAUUAAGAGAAAAAAAUGAGUUCAUUGAAAAUCUUAUGGCUAUUUGUAAUUUUAUUACUCCUUGGAUCUAAUAUUUGUAAUUAUUCUAUGUGCGUUAUUGUUUCUAAAAUUUAUUGAAGGUUUAUGUUAUAUUGUCAAAUUUAGUGGUUCAGUUUAUCUUAUGUUCUAUCUACAUAUAUGCAUAUGAGUGCUUGUUUCCAUGUUGUAAACUACGCAUAACAAGUGAGAGCAACUGAUUUUUGACUUGGGCAAGUUUUUAGGCCGAUUAGGAUGGAGUGGUGGGAAAAUUAGUUGAGAUGGUCAAUCUUCAACUGGUGGUAUAUAGUUAACAGGGAAGCACUUUAUUAAUGUCCUUAGGCUAUUACAAUGGAGAAUGCCAAUUGGGACUAAGGAAUUUUGUUGUUUUAUAUACGUUGGAUGUAUUUUACUUUCACAUUCAACAACUGUUUCUUAAACUUUGAUCCCUCAUUUCUCACUUUUUUUUUCUAGCCUUUUGUUAUUCUUUCAUUUCUUUUGAACAAUUUGUUUCUACGAUCAUUUUCCUUAUUGAGGGACAGGUUUAUCAGUCCUCCAAAGAAAAUUAUUGCACUAUCUCAAAUACCAUGACAUGGAAAAUAACAUGGGCACUCAUUACAUAUUAUUUUUUGUUGUAAAGUACUAUAGUGUUUGCAAUCUGUACAUAAUUUCAUUUUUCUUAUCGGAGAUUUGUAUGCUUAACUUGAUUUAUACAGCUCAUACAUCAUGUUCUUAUGUACUUGAUUUAUACAGCUCAUACAUCAUGUUCUUAUGUACUUUAUUGCCAUCACUUGUUCUAAUAUUUGCAAUUGUUUUGUAAUUUGCAGUGCUAUGGAGAAGAUUCAAGUUGACGCUACAAUUAUGACUAGAUUUAAACUGCAAGUAGUACACGAUGUUUCUGGGAAGUUAGACACAAAUUUCAAGAACAAGCUCUGCGAGAGCUGCUUCCUAUCAAUUCUUAAAUUGAGGGGUAUUAGGUUGGCUUCAUAGGUUGUACAUCAAUAACUAUUUCGAAAGAUGAAGACCACCAAAAAAAGAAGUAUGGUUUAAGAUUAGAAACAAAUAAGGAAGAUUUGGAUUCGAAGAAUUUGUUUUAGUGAUGAAUUUAAAUGCUGGUGAUUGUAACAACGUAGAUAAGAUAUUAGGUGUAGAUUUUCGGAUCAUGAAAGAAUAUUUUAAGCCAGGUGGAGGAAUGAUUAGGAAGGGAGAUGCUUACAAUACAUUUGUAAGUUGCAAGAAAAGAAAGAAUGACUAGUAUAAGUUGAGAUUGAUUGUUAUCUUGGCGGACGUCCUAUAGGACAUGGAGGAAAACACCUACAUUGAUUUAUAGUGGCUGGACUUCGUGAAUGAUCUCGACAAGUUCAAGAAAUAUCAACGGGGAGAAUUCAAUUUGAAUUCACAAUAAACGUGUUCAAACAUGAAAUAGGAUGUAAAUUGAAAAUUUUGGAUGUUGAAAGAGAGUCAUGUUGUCAAUAUUCGUUGCAUAGCUUUCCUUUCACUAUAAUAGUAUGAAAUUAUCUCUGAAAAUUUUAGUAUGGAAAAAUAUCUCAACAUUCUACAACUAUUCAAAAUUUCAACAACAUUAAGAUAACAAUUGUAGAG
rnacentral:lncRNA from 1 species